CUCUGUCUCGUGGAUAUCUCACCUCUCAGACAGCAGAAAUAAAAGCCUGUUGUAACAGGAAGAGUAAUGAUCUGGUGGAAGGCUCCUGCAGCUGCACCACCAGGGCAGAUCUUCUACAAGUGGAGCUGUUUGCCAGCAGGAUUUUGUCCUGGGCCCAGCUGGGAGCUCAAGGCAGGUGGAGAAGCAGAGAUGCUUGCAGAGUUCCUGAGCAGCAGUCCCUGCCUGGAGGAAACCCUUCUCCCUCUGCCUCUGCUGCAUCUGGAGACAUUGUGAGAACCUUGGAGCAUGAAGGCCUUUGGACAUCUCAGCAAUGGAGAAUUUUGUGUCCAAAAUUCCUGGUCUAUUGUUUAAAUAUGGCCAUGAUGUGAGUGUGAUUUGAGGGAGGGAGAACUUAUCCAGAACUCAGCACUUCUGGAGGUCUCAGAUGAGAACACAUCCCUCGAUGAUUCUGCUACAGAUAACAGCUACUGGGCAGUCUGUGCAGCUCAUCCAGAGGAGGACUUGGCUCAGCCUUCCCUACAUUUGCCUUGAAUGCAACAUCCAAGCAGGAUCAUAGCUGGAGCUUCCCCUCAUCAAAGCAGAAAAUAAGCAGAAGAACCAACCACCUGCCACUCACUUUGUCACCUCAACAAAACCAGGCUGGGGCUGAGAAUCAAUAGCAACGAAACUGAGCCUUUGUGCCAGAGCCCGUUGGAGCAGCUCCUGGUACCUGUGGGCAGCACGUACUGGAGCUGCAGCAUUUGUCACCUGCUGCCACCAGCCCAGGGAGGGGCAGCGAGGAGGACAAGGUGGGUCAUUGUCUGAGAAGGCUCUUGCAGGACUGCUGGGACUUCCCUUCUCCCCAGAAUGAGAUUCUGGUGUAAUUAAUGGGGCAUUUGGACUCUGAUAGCAUUUGCUUCAAUCCAGUUUCUCAUGGAAACCCUCCUGAUGCCUCUCAGACCUUCAUGAAGGUAUGUAAGCUUUACUCCCCCACUUUCUGCCUCCCAGAAGGAGAAUGGGAACUGGAAAAUUCCCCAGGUUCUUGGCAGAGAGGCUGAGGUGGUGUGGCUCUGCACAAAGCAGCUCUGGCCAUGGACCCUGGCAGCAGUUUUAUCUUUUGCUGGGCUGGGAAUCAUGACCUCAGCCAUUGCAGCAGGUGUUCUCUGGGGCAGUCUGCAAGGAAAUUGGUUUAAAUAGCAAUAGCAUAAUUUAUCCAUCUGAACCAGCAAAGUGUUAAUGUCUCAGGGGUGAAACAAAAAUUCUGUGAAACUUUUAGGGCUUUCCUUGAUUUUUCUGCACCCAGAGAGGCUCUCAGGGCUGUGCCUUGUGCUUGUCCAUCACUGCCUGGAGAAUGCCCAGCACAGAGAGGCCGUUUCUGCUGAUAACAGGAAAGUCAGUGUUUGGUCCUGCUGUCAACAGGCUUUAGCUUGGAGAGAAACCUCCACUAAUCAGCUGCUUUGUGGCAUUUUUACAGCAAGAUAAAAGAUGCCUGGAAUUAUUUGUUGGUCACCAAGCAAAUGUUUUUACUGGUGAAAUGUUCCAGAGGCUGUUUAGAGUCUGAUUGACAAAUGUGCCAAAACUUUGCAACCGUCCCCAUGCCCUCCCCUCCUCAGAUCCAGGGCUGAGAUGGGAGAUGGAG